UAUAGGUGCAGUCAAAAUCUCAAAGAUUUAGUAGGAUUUUAUUAGGUGAAGGAUUUUGAUGGAUUUGAAAGAGAUGGUAUAAAUACCAAAUGCCAUCCAAAAUCUGAUCCUAACCCCUCUGAUUUCUUUUCACGCCAGACGAAGAUGAACAGGCCAUUCCAUCUAUCUAUCAAGCUAUUGCCUUUUUCACCGAUGCUCAUAUCAAGCAGAAGAAAGUGUCCGACGCCAUUUGGCUUUUGAUCUCUCUGCUCAGUACGACGCCAUUCCCACUCCAGUCGAGUUGAUUCUCUGAAAUAUCUCAGAUAGCAGACUCACUGAUGAAGUGAAGAAUUGGAAACUGAGACGCAUAGAACAAGUGAGACAAUUUCAGGAUCUCCUCAUCCAGUUUCAUCUCCUGUACUGCGUGGAAGGGCUCCGUUGGGUCACAGGGACUUGUUUAGUCCAACUGAAUAUGUCAGUGCAAGUAGUCCAGAUGUUUCUGGCGGUAGGAGCUGAAAAGGAAGGUUCAUGAUGCAGUAGGAAGUCUGCAAGUGUUCCGUUGAUAUGCAGUGUUUUAAAUAUAGUUAUGCCAGAACGGAUUGCGCCUUAUAUGCAAUGAAAUGUGUUCUGAAAAUUGUUGGUGGUGUAGGUGCAAACCUUUUUUUUUUUUUUUUUUUAAACAAAUGUUGCACUUCUGAGUAAAUAGGGGACAAUCAGCCAGCAAAUUCCACUUGUAUUUUGUAUGCAGAUGUAAUGAAUUUUUUUGUGAAAAUCAGCUAUCGUUGCAUA